CCCUUAGAUGUCCUGGGCCGCACGCGCGCUACACUGACAGAGCCAACGAGUUUAUCACCUUGACCGAUAGGCCUGGGUAAUCUUGUUAAACUCUGUCGUGCUGGGGAUAGAGCAUUGCAAUUAUUGCUCUUCAACGAGGAAUGCCUAGUAAGCGCGUGUCAUCAGCAUGCGUUGAUUACGUCCCUGCCCUUUGUAUACACCGCCCGUCGCUACUACCGAUUGAAUGGCUUAGUGAGGCCUUCGGACUGGCUCAGGGAGGUCGGCAACGACCACCCAGAGCCGGAAAGUUCGUCAAACUACGUCAUUUAGAGGAAGUAAAAGUCGUAACA
rnacentral:rRNA from 1 species